UCCAACAAUCAUAUGACCCCUCCCUAUGAGCAAGCGCUUUGACGACAGUGGGAAGGGAAAACUCCCUUUUAAUACGAAGAAACCUCCAGCAGAACCAGCCCUGGGGAACGGCAGCAGUCCGCCACGACAAGUUGGGGACAAUGGGAGGAAGACAUACAGCUGCUGCUGGGUAAAUAAUUCUGCAUUAAAACCUAUCUUGAGCCUACAGAGUGGCUGAUGCUGCAUUUAUACUUUGGCUUGGUCUGGCUACAUUGCUCUGCAAUUUUGCUGCCUAAAGUUGGCAGACGAGUUCCUGUUUUUGGACUGUACUGAAUGGAUGCAACGUGUGGUUACAUUUUUAGGAAGGUGCACGUCAGAUGAAGUAUCAGUUACAAUAAGCUUAAAUUUGAAGAAACAAAUCCUGUUUGAGAUUUGUGACACCAGUGCACUGCAUGUCUUCCUUCACUACAUCCACAAAUCUUCUCUGACUUCCUCUUUUCCUCCUGCCUGGAAGUUUCAUCAUCACGAUACGAGUCACAAAUUGGAUGCACUCACAACCUGCUCCUGAAACACACUUUUCAACAUGUAUGCAGUCUCCCCCAUUUAACAAUUCAUCUAUCAUAUAAACAUGUAAGAGUCAGGAUAAUAUUGAAGCUGAAACAGCUGCUUGUUUACUUAUAAAUGAUAAAUGCUGCCUUCCUUCCUACCUCACCCCCAGCUGAUUGCUCCCCCCCCUCUCUGAGCCUGUUUCUCUUUGACGUUUCUUCCUGUUUUAAGGGAGUUCUUCCUUCACACAGUCGCCAAGUCCUUGCUCACAGGUGAUCGUCUCAUUGUUUGGGGUUCUUUCUAAUAUUGAAGGGUUUAAAAAGUAUUAUAAUAUAAAGGGCACUGUUGUAGUUAUUUGGGACUAUAUAAAUAAAAUUGAAUUGAACACAUUUUAAAGGACUGUAAUUCCAGCUAAAGGAGGCGGCGAUUAAUUGGUCCACCUCCAGUUUACAUUGUAACAUUUGUAUCAAGUUUGAAUCUGCAGAGCUAAUAGUUAAAAGGUUUAAUUGCUGGAAUGUUGACUAAUUUAAAAAUAAAUCUAUUACUUAAAACAUGACAGCAAUAAAACCCCAGACUCAUAAAGAAUAACUGUGACUGUGGCUGUAUUUCAAACACAUGUUCUAGACUAAAUUUUGUGUGUUAAAAAUGUAAUCAAAACAACUGGCAAACUGUGACUAAUUUUAAUCGUUGUGCAAUCUUAUCCGUUCACCUGACUAUUAAAUGGCACAUCUUUGUUUUCUAUACAGUGAAACAAACUUCGGUUUAGAAAACUGAUGAAUUGGUAGGAAAGAAAGACUUGUAAGAAAUGAACCCAUAAAAUUAAUUGUUACCUGAUUCGAUCAGACUCCUCACACGUGCUCUUUAAGCUGAUUUUUAACCUCGACUCUAACUCGGGUUUCCUGAUAUCAACAUGAUGGACACGUUAAUUCUCACAGAACACGGAGUAUUGCUGAAGUCAGCCCGAUGUGCACUGCUUUGCUUUGUUCUCUUUGCUGAGCUCUUGUAUUCUGGGCCAUUCAUCAUUAUGACAACUUGACGGCCCUCUGAAGAGCCCGGAAAUGUAUUUACGCAAAAUUACAGAGUGAGCAUAAAACGUACGACCUGCGACCGUCUGCAGAGCAGGAUUUGAGAACGUGCAGGAGAAGCUUUGGUUUGCGUGGCUGAAAGGAAAACUUCAUUCACCACUUUUAAUAUCCCAUUCAAAUUAUGAGAUGAGUUGACCCAUAUCUGGCGUUCAGGAGGAGGCAUUAUUUCACAGAUGCACCUGUGGAACAGUGAGAAGGGUCCGCAUGAUUAUAGUCACAGUUGGUGACAGCAUAAUGGAGAUUAACUUGGUCAAUCCCAAACAAGUUUGCUUAGUCAUGAACAAUUUACCAGGUGCAGCACUAACGUCUGUGAUGAUGCUGAACCAAAACUAUGUUUUUGUGUCUGGUUCUUUACCUUCUGAAAGCUGCACUGUGUUCUGCAUAUGCCCUUCAAGUCUAACCUCACCCUAACCAAAUUUGAGGCUUCAAAAGACACAUGACACUGUAUAUAAUGAACCACAUCCAGUCUUAUGCAUGAUAACUAGAUGCCAAAAACAUCUCUGCAAUUGAAAAAAGUACAGUGUGUGAUUUGUUGGUCAAUAUUGCAGGGAAAUGUAAAAGAAAUGUUGGGUUUUAUUACCCAGAAGCCCUGUAAGGUGACACCCGUGUGUGUGUUGUGAUUCAAGUGCCCCGUAGGAAAAUGUGUGGUGGUUGUUGCCAUUACAGCCUGGUCUAGAUGAAGCGCUGACUCACUGCUGUUAAUGUGUCGCCCGUAAAGUUUAGAUUUGUCAUUUCUGUGGGUGGAGAUUUCCCACCAUGCGUCCUUGCAGCUCUGCACAAUGAAAGUGAUGCAUUUCAAUUAGCGGCACUGAGAUGCCUCUCUGUUUGACUUAUAGCUUGCAAUUUUAAUCUUUGUGAGUGGGAGCUGAGGAGCAAGCGUCUCCACCGCAUGUCAGUGAACUGCCGUGCCGAGCAGCGUGAGAUUAUGUAAGGUGUAAAAUGAUCAUGAUAAGUGGAAACACUAACACGCUGUGUCUGCUCCUAUAACCCCGCUCUGCAGAGAGGGUCUCUGCAGCUGGAUGAGCUCUCCUCCCCUUCUGUGUGCUGAAGUAGAGGAGAGGAGGAGGUGGUGGUGGUGGUGUGGGGCCCACCCAUGCAGAGCAACAAGGGCCUGGCUGUUCUCUGCUUUGUUUACUCAGGUCAGAUAAUACAGACAACUGGUAUACCUGCAGUCUUCCCUGCUGUCAAUUGCUGUCCAUUUUCUGCAGGCUGGAGUGGAGCGUGGGCAUUGUGGAAGAAAAAGCCCAGCAAGGAAGACAGAGACCAAGGGAAAGCUAAACUGGAGCUCUGAAGGCAAGAUUGGGAGGCGACAUCACUAGUUUAUUGCUUCGAGUACACAGCCCCUCUGUCGGUAAGUAAAUACAGUAAGAUGACACAUGGGUGAAAAGUGAACACGCAAGCAGCUCAAAAAACAGCUAGUUUAUUUUUUUUUCAUUUAUUCCCCCCCCCCCAAAAGAAGCUUCAAAAUGAAAGGCUUUCUCUUUGAAAUGCAAUCAGAAGAAAUAACACCUUCCUCAUGUUUUAACACUGAUAAAUACAGAUUAUCUACUAAUCAAAUGUGAUCAGAUGAGAGGCUGCAGAUAGGUGGAAGGUGGUGUGAAGAGAAAACAAAAAGGAAGAAAAACAUCAUCACCAACGGUUAAUACCAACAGAAAUCGUUCCAUGUGGACAAGAUCUAGCUAAAGAAAAGAGCCCUCUCUGGGUUCACAUCAGUACAGCAGGUCUGUGGGGGUGGGACCUGCAUUAAAGUGCAGACUGGAGUAGGAGAGGGGCAGCUUCAAGACCAAAAUGGACACCAGGGCUCGGAGUGUAACCUUCCUUCCCCUGUGUGAACCGUAGCUUAUGUUAGCACACUUGCACUGACAUUAUUCUAGCUCAUGGAAGUGGCUCAGUAAUUUAUUACUAGUGUCGAUGCAAAUCUUUUCAGCGUUUCUCACUCCAAUGCACACUGUGAGCAACACGGUCACUGGAAAGUGUCGGCGUAAUUGCUCUCAAACAUGAGUUUUUGGCAGUACAAGGUUGGAAAACGGGUCAUGCUGUUGGUACGAUUGCCAUCAAAAGCAACUAUUUAGUAGUGAACGGUUUCUUUAAAUGAGACAGAUGCUCGUGGAGGAACUUCUGUUAUUUUUACCGUGUUCAGUGUUGUUGGCUUAUUUGAAGUAUUGACAGGGUGGAGCUAGCCGCUCCCUCCUUUCCCCCCGCAGCCUCUACUUUCAUACUUUUGAACACAGACCUGCAUUGUAAAGUUAAUGCAUGGCGAUGUGCUGGGAUCAUGAAUCCACCUCAAAAGAUUAUUUUCGGGUUUUUUUUUUUUUUUUUUUUAAAUCCAUCAA